rnacentral:rRNA from 1 species
CUAGCCGUAAACGAUGGAUACUAGGCGUUGUGAGUAUCGACCCUCACAGUGUCGUAGCUAACGCGUUAAGUAUCCCGCCUGGGGAGUACGCGCGCAAGCGUGAAACUCAAAGGAAUUGACGGGGGCCCGCACAGGCGGUGGAGUAUGUGGUUUAAUUCGAUGCAACGCGAAGAACCUUACCAGGACUUGACAUGUCGCGAAUCUCAGGGAAACUUGAGAGUGCCUUCGGGAGCGCGAACACAGGUGGUGC